rnacentral:rRNA from 1 species
AUACGGAGGUAUCGAGCGUUAAUCGGAAUUACUGGGCGUAAAGCGCGCGUAGGCGGCUUUGUAAGUCGGAUGUGAAAGCCCUUUGCUCAACCUGGGAAUUGCAUUCGAUACUGCAGAGCUAGAGUAUGGUAGAGGGAAGUGGAAUUUCCGGUGUAGCGGUGAAAUGCGUAGAUAUCGGAAGGAACACCAGUGGCGAAGGCGACUUCCUGGGCCAAUACUGACGCUAAGGUGCGAAAGCGUGGGGAGCAAACAGGAUUAGAAACCCCGGUAGUCC